rnacentral:pre_miRNA from 1 species
GCUUAUGGAUGAGCAAAGAAAGUGGUUUCUUGAGAUGGAAUCCACUCACAGUGAAGAUGCUGUGAA